AUUGAACGCUGGCGGCAGGCCUAACACAUGCAAGUCGAGCGGAUGAAGGGAGCUUGCUCCUGGAUUCAGCGGCGGACGGGUGAGUAAUGCCUAGGAAUCUGCCUGGUAGUGGGGGAUAACGUCCGGAAACGGGCGCUAAUACCGCAUACGUCCUGCGGGAGAAAGUGGGGGAUCUUCGGACCUCACGCUAUCAGAUGAGCCUAGGUCGGAUUAGCUAGUUGGUGGGGUAAAGGCCUACCAAGGCGACGAUCCGUAACUGGUCUGAGAGGAUGAUCAGUCACACUGGAACUGAGACACGGUCCAGACUCCUACGGGAGGCAGCAGUGGGGAAUAGUGGACAAUGGGCGAAAGCCUGAUCCAGCCAUGCCGCGUGUGUGAAGAAGGUCUUCGGAUUGUAAAGCACUUUAAGCUGGGAGGAAGGGCAGUAAGUUAAUACCUUGCUGUUUUGACGUUACCAACAGAAUAAGCACCGGCUAACUUCGUG
rnacentral:rRNA from 1 species